GACGAACGCUGGCGGCGUGCUUAACACAUGCAAGUCGAACGGAAAGGCCCUGCUUGCAGGGUACUCGAGUGGCCAACGGGUGAGUAACACGUGGGUGAUCUGCCCUGCACUUCGGGAUAAGCCUGGGAAACUGGGUCUAAUACCGGAUGGGUGACAUAUUUAGUGUGAUGGUUGGAAAGUUUUUUCGGGGUAGGAUGAGCUCGCGGCCUAGCGGCUUGUUGGUGGGGUUAUGGCCUACCAAGGCGGCGAGGGGUAGCCGGCCUGAGAGGGUGGACGGCCACAUUGGCACCGAGGUGAGGCCCAGAUACGGAAGGGACGGCGAAGGGCGGAAUCUUGCACAAGGGGCGCAGCGUUGGUGCAGAAGGGCUGCGGGGGGGAUGACGCCCUUCGUGUGGUAAACUACUUUCGCAAGGAACGAUGCUUUUUUUGACGGUACCUAAUUAGAAAGCCCCGGCUAACUACGUG
rnacentral:rRNA from 1 species